AGGAUAAAGUAAGGAGGGGAAUAACUAGUGAGAGAAAGAAAGGAUAAGCUGAUAUAUGAUAGGGAUGAUGUGAAUAGUGGGAGAAUGAAGAUGUUAGCCCUUUAGUGAUGGGAUUAGUGUGAGGAGUGAGCAAGAAAGUGUGUAGUAAAGAGGAGAGAGGGAGGAUAAGAGAACUUGAGAGUCGUCCCUCACCUCGAUGCUAGGUGUCGCUCUACAUCUCCAAACUUUUUUUUAUUUCCGCUGGUGUGGCGAGCGAUGAGGGUUGGACCUAAAGAGUCGUCACCUUCUAAACUGAGGAAUUACCCGUUAUCUAGUAGUAGUGGAGGUAGUAUUAGUAGUGGUACUACAGCAACGACUGCUACUACUGGAACUGUACCAGUGAACGUUUACGUCGAUGACAAUGAUGAUGACGACGAUAUAAUGUCUCUCAAGAAGCAAGCAUCAACUGUUGAAGAGAAUCAUAUGGAUGAUAGCAAAACUCGAAUCCGACAGACUGAUGACCAAGAUCGUUGUACCGUCUGUUUACGCAAUGUUCUUCAUUGUUACAAUGUUUUUAUUCUGAUAUUAGGCUGUGGUGCCUUGGCAGUUGGAAUUUGGUACUUGGUUACGGAAUACAGUGCACGAGAAGUAUCUGUAGUAGUUGGAGAAGAAUGGUUCGAAGUAGCAACAUACCUCUUGAUAGGUGCUGGUGGCACAAUAGCGCUGCUGGCGUUUUGUGGCUGCUGUGGUACAAUGAGGGAGGAUAAAUGUGUGCUAGGCUUUUAUAGUGGAACACUGUCCUUUAUGCUGCUGUUUCUCACUGUUUCCUGUGGGAUGGCAUUUUACUUCAGAAGACAGGUAGGUCAAAUUGUAACCAAAGACAUAGUGAAACACAUGACCAACACUAUAGAACAACAGUAUGGUCUGGACACACGGACAAACUCUAAUAAUAAACUGGUUACUGAUGCCUGGGAUUCAUUACAGAGGCAGCUGCAGUGUUGUGGAAUCAAAGGUGGUGAAAAUAGUUCCUUCUCGUGGAGUGUGUAUAAACUACGAAGUGAAUGGUACCGCCGCAAUCCAGAGCAAUCUCCAUACGUGCCAAGAAGUUGUUGUAAAAAAGACUCAAAUGAGAAAAAGUGUACUGGUGAAAUUCGAUUGAGGGCACCACCUGCGCUAGGACCACCCAUAGGCAAAAAUGACUUACGAAAUCAUGACUUAAAUACCGAAGGUUGCCUGGACAAAAUACGGGAACACUUGAUCAAAAGGGCUAUAAUUCUUGGUUUAGUUGCUGGCUCUAUUCCAAUAUUAUUAGCCGUUGGUAUUUUGGUGUCCUGUUGUUUGUGUUUCCGAGUUCGGCAAAAUUCAGACGAGGAUGAGAUUGAUCUAUAAUAGUAGGAGCUUGCUCCUAACACACCUUCCAUUGACUCUUAACUAAUUAAAAGCAAAAGCAGAAAAAAAUGAGAUCAUUAACACCCUAUUUGCUAAGUAAGCGAUUCAUCGUCGUUGUCUCCCUCCAGUAUUUUUAUGAGAAACAAACGAGCAGGAGAGGAAGAAAAAUUAAACAUGAUGGGGAGGAGAUGAAUAUAUGGUUGGUUAGUCUUUGAAAAAUGCCGGUAAAUGUUUGUUUUGGACCAUUUUUAGCCCAAGAACAAAAUGAAAAAACACACCAAAAGACUCGUUCUUUGAAGAAGAGCAAAGAGCAUAAGUGAUCGUUCUCAGAAAUUCCUGCUUGUCUUCUCAACAUUAUUCUCUCAUUCUCAUAUUUCCUUCUGAAACAUUUAAAAAAAUUUUUUUUUAUAUAUAUAUAUUCCAUUUUUUGGUCCUUUUUUGUUUGUUUAGGGAGGUGAGAUGUUCUGUAAUAUUCUAAUCUUCAUUUUGAUUUUUUCCCUUUUUUUCUUUUUUUUUUUUAUUCAUUUUGAUAUAUACAUUUAAUCCCCUUCUUUUUUUCUCUCUCUCUCUCCACUCAUACACAAUACCUUUUGUACAUUCUUUUGUUACAUUUUUUUAAGGAAUUUAAUUUUUACUUAACGCAUUGAAUAAUAAUAAUAAGAUAUAUUAGAAAUCGUACUACUUCAACUAACUGAAGCUUUUAUUUAAAUAUUUUUAUUUCUUUCUCUUAAAACAAAAUUCAUUUUUUGGUGAAGUUAAUGCAAUUAUUAUUAUUUAUUAUUAUUAUUAUUAUCAUUGCCUUCCUAUGUAAGCAGUAGCAACUGCAACAAUUUAUAUCAAACAAGAUUUCAUUAAUGGUUUUUGUUUGAUUUUUUUUUGUUAAUUUUCUUUAUUUUUACUUUUAUUUUGAAUUUCGAAAAUUUUUUUUCUUUUCAAGAAUUGAGAGAAGACAAAAGCUGACUCGUCACCGAAAAUAAUAACAAAUAUAAUAAUAAUGAUAAUAAUAAUAAUAAUAAUAAUAAUAAUAAAUAUAAUUAAUUAUUAUAUUAUGAUAAUAUUAUUAUUAAUACUGAUAACCAAGAUGUGUCUUUCCAUAUCAUUCCACAGUACCAAGAAGCCUCUCAAAAUCUAUCUUUCUCUAAUCCUCAAUCACCAAACACUGGUCAUGUUCCUGUAUAUUGUACCCAGGCUUCCUUCGCUUUGACCUCCCUGCCCCCUCGCCUUCUGCCCCGUCCCCUGUUAACCACGUCCACAACAACAAGAACAACCACCACCACCACCACUGACCAAUGGAACUAUGAAACCGUUUCAACUUCAUGCAUUUAUUUCUAAAGUGUGACAAAAGUUUAGCCAUGGCCCCUAACCUAGAUACAUGCGCUUGUUCACACAUGCACACACACUCACUCACCCCCACAUAACACAUACGUAUACAGACUCAUGAGUAUGUACUUAUACAUACACGCACAUGCAAGGGAGAAUGUAACUGACAAACUUUGAAAGGAAUAUGAAAUUUCUGUAUAAGAUCUCUGUAUUUUUUGAGGAUUUACAUACGAAUGUAGGGAGGUGUGUGUAUAUAUGUGUGUAUGUAUGUAUAUAUUUAUAUAUAUAUAUAUAUAUAUAUAUA
rnacentral:misc_RNA from 1 species